rnacentral:rRNA from 1 species
AUUGAACGCUGGCGGCAGGCCUAACACAUGCAAGUCGAACGAGUGGCGGACGGGUGAGUAAUGUCUGGGAAACUGCCUGAUGGAGGGGGAUAACUACUGGAAACGGUAGCUAAUACCGCAUACCAUCGGAUGUGCCCAGAUGGGAUUAGCUAGUAGGUGGGGUAAAGUCUCACCUAGGGGACGAGCCCUACCUGGUCUGAGAGGAUGACCGGACAGACAGGAACUGAUGCACGGUCCAGACUCCUACGGGAGGCAGCAGUGGGGAAUAUUGCACAAUGGUCGCAAGCCUGAUGCAGCAAUGCCGCGUGUAUGAAGAAGGCCUUCGGGUUGUAAAGUACUUUCAUCGGGGAGGCGUUACCCGCAGAAGAAGCACCGGCUAACGCCGUGCCAGCAGCCGCGGUAAUAC